rnacentral:snRNA from 1 species
AUCGCUUCUCAGCCUUUUGGCUAAGAUCAAGUGUAGAAUCAAUAUUACCAUGGAAAGUACAGGAUGUACUGUACCCCAGUUUGACAUCUACUUUAAAUUCUCAUUAUCAGCACUCCCUCCUGCUGCUUAGAGUUGCUGAUGGCUAGAUUUUCUGUGAUCAGGAGUAAUCUCUCCCUAC